rnacentral:lncRNA from 1 species
GUAGUACCACAUUUAAAGCGUGAAAAGUAGAUAAUAUUUUUUUCAAUAAGUCCUCAUCUGUGAUAGUGUCUCCACAUAAUUUUAAUAGAGAACUUACUUUAAAGAUAGCAGAAUUAUACUCACUUACGGUUUUAAAGUCUUGCAACCUUAAAUUUAUCCACUUAUACCGAGCUUUCGGUAAUACCGUAAGUUUUAGGUG